rnacentral:lncRNA from 1 species
CUGGAGCUCUGCCACGUAACAUAUGACGGAAAUACAUUGCCAUGUGCUUGAAGAGAGUAUCAUACGACAAAAGGGUUUCACAUAUUCACUAGACGUUCAGCCCAUACUGUUUUUAUUUACACUUAGUGAAUUCAUAAGUCCUACUAGGGAUCGUUGUCUACACUUUGAACUGAAAUAUAUAUUUUCGGGCUGCAGCUCGGUAUACAUAAAUCUACUUUAAUGAGUUAUAAUAGUACAUUCGGAUAGAGAUCUGAAUAUGGCCCAUUUGUGUAGGAAUUCGAGUGCACACUAGUACAUAUGAUGUCUUCGCAAACAGUCAAAAUCUAUUUUUGCAGAUUUUUAUUUUUAGUAGGCACCUUAGACACACUCACAGACUCAUAUAUUAUUAGUUACACACAUAUGUUGUUUAUAGCAUUCGAACCCAUCACCUUAUAAAGUUACACACUUGUCAUCACCGCCACAC